rnacentral:rRNA from 1 species
CACGGGGGGGAGCAAGCGUUGUUCGGAAUCACUGGGCGUAAAGGGCGUGUAGGCGGUCAAGUAAGUGGAAUGUGAAAGCCCCCGGCUUACCCGGGGAUCUGCAUCCCAAACUGCUUGGCUUGAGUACGGGAGAGGAUGGAGGAAUUCCUGGUGUAGCGGUGAAAUGCGUAGAUAUCAGGAGGAACACCGGUGGCGAAAGGCGUCCAUCUGGCCCGAUACUGACGCUGAGGCGCGAAAGCUAGGGGAGCGAACGGG